rnacentral:lncRNA from 1 species
UCCUGCAACCAGUUCAAUUAAUUUUAGGCAAUCAAUUGAAUUACACAGUUAAAGCACAAUUUUUUAGGAUAAUUUUCAAAUUGAUUAAAAGGAUCACCAGUUAAUUGUGUCCAUAAUAAAAAGAAAACGGAAAGUUUUCACCACGAUAGCUAGAGAAAAGAGAGAGAGAUGUAGAGGAAGGUGAUAUCCGGUAGCAAUUGUUCAUCAGCCAAUUAGAUGAAAAGGGUAACUAAGAAUAGAAAGGUUCCUUCUUGAUUCCUCUGCCAUGGAAGCAGAAAAUGUAAUUGUAUACGAGGAAUUGACGAUUGGACUGGUCAAUGAAGUCUCCAAUGCACGCUACAUAUGCCUGCAUUCACAUGGAGACAGAAGAGAGAGCAGGAGAAUAGAGAAUGAAAAGAGUCCUACAUUAUGAAAACCUUUCACCCAUGUGCCAAGAUACAUGAACUCAGUACAGUACCAGUUGCCAGAAGGAACAGCCUUAAUUCCACAAAGAGGCAUGGAAAGAGAACUGAUUCUCGAAGCCAUAGCAUAUAAACAAAGAAUAUUUGCUUAGAGGAGGUAUGUCAAUACCAAAAAGAGGCUUGAAAAGGAAACUGAUUCCCGAAGCCAUAGUUUAUAAACAAAGGGAACUGAGGUUUCUUUUGUCAAAACAUGGGAAUGAAGUCAUGGUCAUAAAAUAUAAAUCUUGAUGUGAUUCAUUCUCCGUCAUCUAAAUGAAGUCCCUUACCAUCAUCUGGUUUUUUAACAAACUCCACGCCCAGACGUUCAAACCUCUCACAAGCCUUGUAUGUAUCAUCAACGGUGAUGCCG